rnacentral:lncRNA from 1 species
UUGUGUGUGUGUGUGUGUGUGUGUGUGUGUGUGUGUGUAGGUGAUGCAAGGGUACAUGUGUGCCUAUGCAUAUCUAUGGAGGUCAAAGGACAACUUGUGAGAGCUGACACUUGUAGAAAUUGGCAAAUCUUGGCCAGAGUUGCCUUUGCACUGAGCCAUCCUGCCAGCCCUCUGUCUUGUUUUCCAGACAGGGUCUGUCUCUUAACAGGGAGCCCAAGCUGGCCAGUGAAGUCUAGGGACCCUGCUGUAAGUCUCCUCAGCCCUGGGAUUACAAGCAUGGGCCGCAUGCCUGUUCUUUGUUUUAUGUGUGUGUUGAACGUGGUAGUUUAAGUGCUCCCAGCCUACACAGGGGCAUCCUGCUUUUGUAAUCCACCUAUGUUUGUCACAGCAUACAUAUGCCAGCAUUUCUGGAGUUCAGUGAUCACUCCAUAAAGGUUCUCUGCUCACACAGUGGCUCUUCUGGGAAGCCCUUUUGGAGAAGGGCCAGACUGAAACAGGCACCUUUUGUUUUUGAAGUUUACCAUCUCAAGCACACAGAGAAACCAUGCAACUCGCAUAGGAAAU